rnacentral:rRNA from 1 species
ACAAANCCAUGGNUUCCUUUGAUCCGAGAAACCAACAGCUAGAAUUUUACGACUUUGUCGUAAAGGUUGGGAGUAUCACCCCCGNUUAGAGCUCUGUGUGUGAGGUGUCUAUGUAUGACAUGAGUCGUUCGUGAGUGGCGCCUGUGAUUGUUCAUGCGAAGUUCCCAUCUAUGAUGGUUGAGCUUGAGACUUAAUGAGUAUUGCAAUAAUACCGCCUCAUCGUUUUGUAAUGGUGGUUGAGUACGCAACAUUUCGUUGUUGUAUGUACGGUACCUGGUUCACAGGAAACCUUAAUGAUCUCGCCUAGACGCCAUUAUGAAACACAACUUUCAAUAUUUAAAGUUUGCAGAAACGUGUGCACAUUUAUGUGCCACAAUUGAAGACUAGCUUCAGCGAUGGAUCGGUCGAUUCGCGUAUCGAUGAAAAACGCAGCUAGCUGCGUUAUUUACCACGAAUUGCAGACGCUUAGAGUGGUGAAAUUUUGAACGCAUAGCGCCGUUGGGUUUUCCCUUCGGCACGUCUGGUUCAGGGUUGUUAAUGAAUUUCUACAGUGUGGCUAACUCUAACACUGUUNGUCGAAUGGUCAUUAUCAAAUAUUGUGAUAAUUCCCAUUUCAGUUCAAGAAUAAUACAUGCAACAUGAUGUUAAUGUUGUAACGACAUUAAUGUUCCUGUAUGAUGUGAACGUGUUGUCACUGUUUAAAUGUACUCAGUGAAUUUGAGAUUGAUUUAAACAGGGACAUGUAUGACAAUAAUGUUCAAUUAUCAUUUGUAUUGCAACCUGAUCUCANGCGUGAUUACCCGCUGACNUAAACCANAAAAANAAAACC